GUACGUUCAAGCUAAUACCUAUAGACAGAUGUGUCCCCACUGGUUUCAAAGUUUCCUCUUCCCUUCACGCGCGGGCCCCCAUCUCUGUCCUGCAGGAGGUGGGAAAGGAAGGCUUGCCUCGCGCAGAGCUCCUGUGGCCAAGCUUCUUGGAAAUCCGCCACUGCAACUUUGUGCAGCCGCGGCGCGCCGGCGGCGACCCUCUUUGUUUAAGUUCUCGGAUGCCAUCAUCUGGGAAACCUGCAGCCCUGUACCAGCGCGGGGCCCGCGCGUGCGAGUCCGACCGCUUGCUGCGGCUGCUCGCUCUCCAACCCCCCCUCCCUCCUUUCCUCCCUCCCACCCACCCUCCUCUGGGAUUCUUGCAAGUAUCGUGCGUGCCCUUGUGAGUUUGGAGGGUGCCGGUCAACGAAGCCACGCGAGGUAUUUGAAAGGCAAUCAGCCCGACCGUCCCCCUAGAUUCAUCGUUUUGCGAGGUGGCUGUGACCGCUGUCGACAAGUGCUUUCUCAGCCGCAACCCAGCUGAAAGAGUUAAGGGGCCCGGGAGGAGGAGUGCGCCCGGGAGAAGGAACUCAGUGAAUAUUGCCCUGGGUCCUGGUAAUUCCACCUACUGAAGACAACUGCCCCUUCUGCUCAUAUUUCCUGAGUCAACAUGGCCGUUCCUAACUUUGAAGAGACUUUAGACAUUCUUUGUUACAAUGAACCUAGAAGAAAGAAGAGAAAUAAUAACUGCCAUGGAAGGAUGCUCCUCCUGCCAAUUGGCACUUAUCAAUGACAUCGAGGGAGAGGGACAGAGUGCCUAGGUAUGAGCCUUCAUCAAGUGGUAUGAAGGCCCUACCCCAACAGAAAGUGCUGAUGUGAUGAAAUGGUGCUUUGGACAAGACUUUUCCUCCAAGUUGGUCCUAUCCAGGGGUUGGCAAACAGGGUCCCUGGACAUCAUCCAUGUGGCAUACUCUUAUGAAUAAAGUUCUAUAGGACACAGA
rnacentral:lncRNA from 1 species